CUCUACCGAAACUAACACAUG
rnacentral:snRNA from 1 species